GACGAACGCUGGCGGCGUGCUUAACACAUGCAAGUCGAACGGAAAGGCCCUGCUUUUGUGGGUUGCUCGAGUGGCGAACGGGUGAGUAACACGCGAGUAACCUGCCCUUGACUUUGGGAUAACUUCAGGAAACUGGGGCUAAUACCGGAUAGGAGCUCCUGCUGCACGGUGGGGGUUGGAAAGUUUCGGCGGUUGGGGAUGGACUCGCGGCUUAUCCGCUUGUUGGUGGGGUAGUGGCUUACCAAGGCUUUGACGGGUAGCCGGCCUGAGAGGGUGACCGGCGACAAUAGGACUGAGAUACGGCCCAGACGCCUACGGGAGGCAGCAGUGGGGAGUAUUACACAGUGGGCGGAAGCCUGAUACAGCAACGCCGCGUGCGGGAUGACGGCCUUCGGGUUAUAAACCGCUUUCGCCUGUGACGAAGCGUGAGUGACGGUAAUGGGUAAAGAAGCACCGGCUAACUACGUG
rnacentral:rRNA from 1 species